AUUGAACGCUGGCGGCAGGCCUAACACAUGCAAGUCGAGCGGCUGCACGGUGCUUGCUUCUUCUUUCGGCUUCGGACUGGUGUUUUAUUCCUAGCUAUCUCCCUGUUUGUUUUGUCUUACGUCCUUAUAUGGGCGCUCUUACCGCAUUCCUCCUUAGGGCCUACGUUUGUGAUCUUCGGAUCUCUCGCUCUCACAUGAUCCUAGUUCGGAUUAGCUAGUUGGUGUGUUAAAGGCCUACCAAGGCGACGAUCCGUCACUCGUCUGAGAGGAUGAUCAGUCACACUGGAACUGAGACACGGUCCAGACUCCGACGGGAGGCAGCAGUGGGGAAUAUUGGACAAGGGGCGAAAGCCUGAUCCAGCAAUGCCGCGUGUGUGAAGAAGGUCUUCGGAUUGUAAAGCAAUUUAAGUGGGGAAGAAGAGAAGAAAGUUAAUACCUAGCUGUUAUGACGGUACCAAAAGAAUAAGCACCGGCUAACUUCGUG
rnacentral:rRNA from 1 species